UCGAUGAUUAUGAAACCAAUGAUCAUCGUAUUCCACGAGUUGAAAAUUUUGUAGUUAAUGUUGUACAUAACUUUAAUGAUGAAGAAUUUCGAGAAAAUUUUAGGUAAAUUAAACCUAUUUUAAUGUACACAUUAUUGCAUUAUGUUAAUGUUAAGCAUGGGAUAUUUAACAAAUUGUUAACUAUAUAAUCAUUACCUGUAUGGUGAUUGCGUCGUGAUACUUUCAAUUAUUUAUUGUUUGUAUUGAGGGACCAAUUGGAAGCUGAUGCUAUUGGAUUUGGUAAUGUGCGUAUUAGCGCAGAAAGACAAUUAUUCAUAGCUCUUUGGGUUCUUGGAUGUGUAUAUUUCUAUCUAGUUCUGUGUAUAUUUGUAUCUAUAGGAAUCAACACCUGAUUCCUAUAGAUACAAAUAUACACAGAUUUAAAAUAUUUUACAAUAUUGAGUAAAUUAAUUUAACACGUUCUUAACUUUGUAGGUCAAUAACCAGUAAAUUUGGUGUUGCCAAAUCUACAGCUUGGUGUGCUACAUACAGGGUAGUAAGAGCACUGUGUAAUUAUAGAAAUUACUAUAUAAGCUGGCCAUCUCCUGCUGAAGCACAGGAGACUGCUGAUAGAAUUGAACAAAGAUUUGGAUUUCCAGGUGUUAUUGGUGCCUUAGAUAGAACCGAUAUUUAUAUAGCUGCUCUUAGAAGAGAUGCGAAUGCUUAUAUAAAUAGGAAAGGCAGACAUUCCAUUCAAUUACAAGUUAUUUGCAAUGACAAGUUAGAAUUCAUAAAUUGCUAUGCAGGUAUGCCUGGAUCUGUACAUGAUAUGAGAGUAUACAGAUACUCUGGGGUACAGAAUCAAUGCAACGAUCAAUUUUUCCCAAAUAAUACCUAUCUGUUAGCUGACGCGGCAUACACUCUACAAAGACAUAUCAUGGUUCCUUACAGAGAUCAUGGCCAUUUAACUUUAGAAGAAAUUUGUUUUAAUACAAUGCUGUCAAGAAGUCGUAUGAUGGUAGAAAGAGCCAUUGGAUUGUUAAAAAUGCGAUGGAGGUAUUUCUUGGAUAAAAUACCUAUGCGACGAACAGAUUUAAUACUACAUUUUGUCCAUAUGCAUUUUACAUAAUAUAUGUCUAAAAAGAAAUGAUGAGUUUCAAUAUCCUGUCAUAAUACCGGAUAUAAUUAAUGGAUAUCCCGAACCAGAAGAAGUAGAUAAUCAAUCAAGAGAAUAUGGAGUUAUUAAAAGAGAAAAUAUAAGGCACAUAAUAAAUAGAGAUAUUGUUAAUAACUAAUGCAAAGAGAGCAAGGAACUUUGAAUGAAAUGCACUUUGUAAAAUACCAGUACCAGCACACAGCCACACACCACUGAAACGAAAUUUGAAGAAAAUAUUUACUAGAUAAACAUAAAAAUGAAAUCUAAUUUUUAAUUUUUUGACGGUAAAAGGUG